GAAACAUACUAUACACACAAUGACACAAGCAAUAAGGAAAAAUAUUUUUCAGGAGGACGGUCACAAAACAAGCUUUGACAAAGGAUCCUGCGAAAUUAGCGUCCUGUACAAUUGUAAAAACCUCGGAACGUCAACGAUCUCAAGUACAAAUUGCUGAUCAGAUUUCCAUACUAAUUAGCUAACUCUACCCUAGACGAAGUGGACAGUAAAUAUUUGUUCAGUAUCAGGAGGGGCCUAUCUUAUUGAGCAUAAACAUGCAAAGGUUAGUUCCGCCGUAUACUUUACCUAUAAUGCAAUCAUUGAAGCGAUAAUUAUUCUUAUAAUCCAUAUUUUAGUUCGUUAUAAAAAUAUAUUUUAGUGACUUGUACAUGAUUUACGCUUCUAAAUAGAGUUAGACCAACCUAAGUUAGCAGCGAUUUUGAUAGCCGAGACUGUUCAAGGAUUAUUUUAAACAUCAAACUUCUAUCAAAUUAUGACGUUUACAUAACACAUUCACAGUCUGGGCUGUUAAAAUCUCUGCCAACUUAGCUUAGUCUGGCUAUAAGAAAAUUAAAGCUGACAUAGUUAUAAAUCACUAAUAAAUACAAGUGGGUUAUAAUAUUAGGUUAGGUUAGGACUAGGACUAAAUAUAAAAGUUAACACUUUGUCAUAAGUAACAGAACCUAUAAAAUUAAGCACACAAGAAUCUGUUCCCUGUUUGUAUUCAUGUCGAAAACAUCAAAAGCUGUAAACAGUAAUUAAAAAUCGCGGUUGAGGUUAUCCACAAACAAAAUUGAUGAUGACAAUGACGUAGGACAUGGUCCGCUGCGUGCGUCAUUCGUAGCCUUAUUGUUUACAAGAUAAAGUCGGUUUCGGAGUAUUUUUGUUUAGGUGCAAAUGAUAUAUUACCUAUUCUUUUUAUUUUGCAGUUCGCACCUAAGAGUUAACUAUAUAUUUCUGGGCUUGUUUAUUAUUAUGCAACCAAAAAGUUCAACUUUUUUUUUGUAUAUCAAUCAACUAAACAUGAUUAUAAUUUGGUAACUAGUAGAGUGUGUACUAAAUACAGUAAAGCUGUAGAGAUAAGGGACCCCCCCUCCCCCUGCAUAGAAAUUUGUUUACAGGUAGGUCCACUUAUCUCUGCAGCUUACUGUACUUAUAUAUCCAAAAACCUGCGUUCAAGUAGAGCGAACUCUACCAGCACUACCGUCCGCACCUCCGUUCGUACUGGUUAAUUAUUUAGGAAUUCAUUAUAGUUUCAUUCAUUCACAAAUUUACUUAGUGUUCAUUUGAAAGUCAUAUAUUGCUGUUCAUUGUUCAGCCUCUACUUAAAGAAAUAAUUACAUAUUUUGUUUUCGUCACCGACUUCAACAGAACAAAAAGUGAGGGAGUAUUAUUAUAAACGUCAUUAUUUCACAUAAAUUUGACAUCAAUGAUGACAUCUCCACACUUUAUCACUGCAAACGCCACGCAGAGUUGGCUCGGUCCGACUCUACCUAUUAUUUUAUUUUUAUUACCGUAAGAUUUUCUUUAAAAAAAUCUAAAUGUAUGAAUUUAAUUGCACAAUCAAUAAAAUAUAUGUGCAAGCGAGUCACACUGAAAUCAAGAUCAAUCUGAAGGUAUUGUACGGGUAUUUACGGUUCUUAAAGCCUCCACCUGAGAGUGAGGUAGUACCGUUGUGACGCGCGGUGAUGGUGACGCGCCCGUGGCGUCAUGAUUGUGCUAUUUACAGAUUUAUACACACCUCUAGUCUAUUAGCGCUAACCAUCAUUUUUUGUUUUCGUUUUUCCUAACAAAGUACUUUAAUCCCGUCAAUUGCCAUAGGUAAAAAGUACUCGUAAUGUUAAUUUUAAACUACUAUAUGCAUAAAGAGGACUAUUUUUAGAGUCCCGCGAUAAUCUAGGUACCUACCUACCGGGUCCUCUUCGACUCGUCAAAGUGCUAGUCAUAACGCAGCUACUAAGGAUGUACGGAAAGUCACUUUUGUCUAGUCGCGUACCUACUGGAAAAGAUGCUUUAUCUGGUUAGCCAUAUUGACACUAAAACUGGCAUAAUUUCACGUAGUUUACGACAUCACUUGUCUUGUGACUUUAUCAUUAAAAUGCCAAAUUGGCAGUGAGGUCACCACUUUUACAAAAAUAAAUCUUUAUCACGUAUUAGUACGUGACUGAUUCGCUUCUGUUUGUGUCUAUAUAUAUUGGCAUAUUGCGCAAAGCUAUUGGUUGCAUUGCAUUGCAUCCAGCGAUGGUUGACGGCGAGUGCAACGAGUGGCCGGAGUAUGCGUGACGUGAAGCGCGUCAUCGGUGACGCCGCACCCGACCGUCCAUCUCUUUGUAAACACGCAAUUUCUCCGCGCGCCCGCCGCCGCCGCGCCGCAUCACAACAACAACAGCUGAUAACUGUGUUGCAACUGGCCCCUUUAAAUAACAGUAUGACAAUACUCAUGACGACAUAAAACCGACUUCACUAACUAACAAGAAUUAAACAUGAUGUUGCUAGUUACUUACUUAUGCUAAACAUUUACAUUUAUAUAAAAUCAGACAAUAGGUAAGAGUUGCGAUGUGUCAAUGCUUGUUUCAGGCCGUCGCGUUUCGUGUAAUGCUCGAUGGACGCUCGCUAAUUUGGUCGGUAGGUUUUGCAAUUUGGUACCUAUCGGAGGCCCGAGACUGAGAGGCUAUGCCGAGGAGCGCAGAGUGCAACAAUGACGUCAUGCGGGGCGAGGGGGGCGGGAGGCGCGGGACAUCGAGAACGGAGCCGCGCGCCCGUUCAUUGUAGUUUUUCGAUUAUUGUUUAAUUAGGGCGAAACGGCGGCGGAGCGGCGGCCAGGGCACGUCCACGCGCGGCCCGCUCGCAGUUAUCAGCUGGAGGAGUACGUACAGAGCGUAGUAGGUACCUAGUCAUUUCAGGUUGUUACUUUGCGUGAUUAUUUUGCUGAUUUAAGUAUACUUAUUACGUGUAAUAAUACAUGACAACAAUAAAAAAACACACAUAUGUAAUAGUUAUCUAUGUCCUUUUUAUAAAUUUGAAAUAGGUACCUGACUGCUAAGAUAUUUUAAGAUAUUGUGAUUUUGAGUGAAAUUGGUACUGUAAAUGUACCAAUGCAUAAAAUAAAAUAUGGAAUUGACGUUCAAACGUAUGACACAGAAGUACACAUUUGAUAUUUAUUACAUUAGGAUAUGAUUCUUUUAUUUACUAUUUCCUCUCCA